GGAAGGGUGCCUGAGUGGACGAAAGGGACGGUCUUGAAAACCGUUAAGGGAGAAAUCUCUUCGCGAGUUCGAAUCUCGCCCCUUCCG
rnacentral:tRNA from 1 species